CUAUGAAUAAUUACCUGUCUGUUUUAAUUACAUUUUUAAUCCAAUUAACUUGUUCAAUGUGGCUGAUUAUCUUACCAGGAAUUAUCUUCAUCUUCUUUCCGAGUGUUGGUGUUAAUUGUGAUUCAUAAUUACCUGUAACUUUGAGCCUCUUGAUAGGCUACCAAUCUACCCUGAAGUACCUUUUCCGUUGAUGGUUCAAUUCCUGGAACUAAAUUGGCUGGAUUGAAGGCUAAUUGUUCAAUAUCGGCGAAAAAAUUUUUCGGAUUAUGUGUUAAUACCAAUUUACCAGCUUCUAUGAGAGGAAAGUGUUUCAAAGGCCACAACUGGAAAUGGAAAAACGGAUUCAGUUUUCAAGCAAGAUUAAUAGAGUAAUCAAAGAGAGAACCAUGAGAGAGAGAGAGAGAGAGAGAGAGAGAGAGAUUAAAUCAUUCCACUGAAACCACAACAAUCAAAUUGUUUUUUUUUGUCUGAUUAAACAACAACAAUUAAUACACAAAAAAAAACAGAAAAGGAAAAUCAAAUUGAUUGGUGGUUGAUACCAUGAAGAUAAAUCAGAAAAAGAUUAAUGGUUGCGCUUGGGUAGAGAGAGAAAGAGAGAGAAAAUUUCUCUAAUUGCUUUGGAUGAUUAGAAUUUACGAUUUAGGAGACAAAAAGAUCAUUACAAUUUACGAUUAAACUGUAACUGGAUCAACUAUGCUAAUUUAAAUUGAUUAUAAUUUAUGGAAAAUCAAUAUCACCAUUAAUUGAUAAACCUUUUUCACCGAUUGGUAACAAUCAGAGUUAACUGAUCAAUGGCAAUGGUUGUUAAUUAAUUUGACUAUAUUCAAAUAUCCUCAAAUCCUGUUGGUUAUUAUGGAUUAUAAUACAAAACUAAUUAUAUUAGAUAAUUGUUACAAAAGUUAGACAAGGUUACAAUUAAUUAUAUAGCUUUAGUUAACCAAAUUAUAAGCUUAAAAUUAAUUAUUGUUUAACUUUCUUUCAACUAUAACAAUUAACUAAUAGUAUUAACCAAUCAAAAUUAACUUUUUCGUUAUAAAUCUCGAUAUUUGGAUUAAGUGAUCAAGUUAUGGAAAUGGAUCAACUUACCUUUGUUGGAUCAAAUGGACUGUGUUUCCAUUUAUGAGCUUGUUUUUGGGUCAUCACUUGGAUAC